rnacentral:rRNA from 1 species
CGAGUGCGCGGUUGUAGCAAUACAACUGGCGCACGGCGCACGGGUGCGUAACACGUGGGUAACCUGCCCUUUGGUGGGGAAUAACUCCGCGAAAGCGGAGCUAAUUCCGCAUAAGAUCCGCAAGGAUGAAAGCAGCAAUGCGCCGAAGGAGGGGCCCGCGCCCGAUUAGCUAGUUGGCGAGGUAAUGGCUCACCAAGGCUUUGAUCGGUAGCUGGUCUGAGAGGAUGAUCAGCCACACUGGAACUGAGACACGGUCCAGACUCCUACGGGAGGCAGCAGUGGGGAAUCUUGCACAAUGGGCGAAAGCCUGAUGCAGCGACGCCGCGUGGGGGAUGAAGCAUUUCGGUGUGUAAACCCCUUUCGAUCCGGACGAAACCCCGCAAGGGAUUGACGGUACGGAUAUAAGAAGCCCCGGCUAACUACGUGCCAGCAGCCGCGGUAAGACGUAGGGGGCCAGCGUUGUUCGGAAUUACUGGGUGUAAAGGGUUCGUAGGCGGUGCGGCAAGUUGGGAGUGAAAUCUCUGGGCUUAACCCAGAGGCUGCUUCCAAAACUGCUGUGCUUGAGUGUGGGAGAGGCGCGUGGAAUUGCAGGUGUAGCGGUGAAAUGCGUAGAUAUCUGCAGGAACACCCGUGGCGAAAGCGGCGCGCUGGACCACUACUGACGCUGAGGAACGAAAGCUAGGGGAGCAAACAGGAUUAGAUACCCUGGUAGUCCUAGCCCUAAACGAUCAGGAACUUGGGGUGCCACCCGUUCGGGUGUCGUCCCGGAGCUAACGCGUUAAGUCCUGCACCUGGGGAGUACGGUCGCAAGACUGAAACUCAAAGGAAUUGACGGGGGCCCGCACAAGCGGUGGAACAUGUGGUUCAAUUCGACGCUACGCGAGGAACCUUACCUGGGCUCGAAAUGCUAGUGACCAGCUGU